rnacentral:rRNA from 1 species
AAAGACCUCAACUCAGGCAAGACUACCCGCUGAACUUAAGCAUAUCAGUAAGCGGAGGAAAAGAAAACAACUGUGAUUCCCUUAGUAACGGCGAGUGAAGCGGGAAAAGCCCAUCGUUGAAUCUCCCUGGACCUAGUUCGGGGCGAGUUGUAACGGUAUGGAUUGGCAUUCUAGCGCCAACUGCUAACCAAAGUCCUUCGGAUUGAGGCGCCAGAGAGGGUGACAGCCCCGUAGAUGGCUAGCAGGAAGCGUGCAUGUUGUCAACUCCUAGAGUCGGGUUGUUUGGGAUUGCAACCUAAAGCAGGUGGUAAACUCCAUCUAAGGCUAAAUAUAGACACGAAACCGAUAGCGAACAAGUACCGUGAGGGAAAGUUGAAAAGAACCCUGAAAAGAGAGUUAAAAGUACGUGAAACCGCUAACGGGGAAGCGGAAGGCAGUGUCGAGACCGCGUCUAGUGGAUGUUUGUCGCGUUUCCUUGGAAAUUGUGGCAAGUGUCAGCUGGGCAUGGUGCGUCAGGCCUGCUGGUGAACAAGUGGAAGCAAGACAUGGCGCUCGCAACCUCCUAGGAGGAUGCGGGUGCGGUCUAGUGAAAGCUUGUAUGCUGGCUUGUGAGUGAAAAGCGUUGUUAGCUCAAAUUUUGGGCUGGUUGAUGCAGUCAGGCGCUGCGCCUUGUCUAAAGUUUGGACAAGACGUAGUUGUUUGGCUGGUCGACAAGCAGUGCUAGAUCCUGACGAGAUACCUAACUUUCCGACCCGUCUUGAAACACGGACCAAGGAGGCAGAGACUGGAGCGAGUUAGAGGGUGGAAAACCCGACGGCGUAGUGAAAGCAAAAGGUGGGAUCUGUUUGCCCCGGCAAGCAGCGCACCACCGGCCAGCUUCUUUGAAGUUGAGUUGGAGCUCCAGUCGCUGGACCCGAAAGAUGGUGAACUAUGCGUGAGCAGGGCGAAGCCAGAGGAAACUCUGGUGGAGGCUCGAAGCGAUUCUGACGUGCAAAUCGAUCGUUUGACUUGCGUGUGGGGGCGAAAGACUAAUCGAACCAUCUAGUAGCUGGUUCCCUUCGAAAUAUCCCUCAGGAUCGCUGAGACAGGUGGGAGACAGUUUCAUCGGGUAGAGCGAAUGAUUAGAGGACUCGGGGACAUAUUACUCUCGACCUAUUCUCAAACUACCAACCGGUGAGACAAUUGAUUACUUGUGUGAAUCAGUUGAUUGAAUGUCUCUGUCUCAAGUGGGCCAUUUUUGGUAAGCAGAACUGGCGAUGCGGGAUGAACCGAGAGCUGAGCUAAGGUGCCUAAGAGCACGUCAAUAGAUACCACAAAAGGAGUCGGUCGAUGAAGACAGCAGGACGGUGGCCCUGAAAGUAGGCAUCCGCUAAGGAGUGUCUAAUAACUCACCUGCCGAAUCGACGGGCCCUGAAAAUGGAUGGCGCUGAAGCGUGCCACCGAUGCUCAGCCUUUACCUCGAGAAAUGCAGGUAAGGGGUAGAAGGGCGCGACGGUAGCAAUAAAGCGCAAAGUGUGAACUUGCGUGGAGCUGCCGCCGGUGUAGAUCUUGGUGGUAGUAGCAACUAUAAAAGUGAGUAAAAACCUUUUAGGCCGAAGUGGAGAAGGGUUCCACGUGAACAGCAGUUGGACGUGGGUUAGUCGGUCCUAAGCGGUUGCCUAACGGCUAUUUCAACGCAGACAUUUGUCUGAGUUCCGCGAAAGGGAAUCAGGUUAAUAUUCCUGAACUGGGCGCUGGAGACGCGGUCCUUGACGCAAGGAGAGGGCCGCUUAGCGGUAACGCAAGCAAUAUCGGAGACGCUGAUGUCUGUGGCGGGGAGAAUUAUCUUUUCUGCAUAACAAGUAAACACCUUGGAAUUGAGUCGCUCAGAGAUAAGGUGCAACGCUUGGAAGAGCUUCGCUAUUAUUGCGGAGCCCGCACUGCAGGGAUCAGCCCUUGAAAAUCCGAUGGAGUGGUUAAAUUUCGCGCCUAUCCGUACCGAAUCCGCAUCAGGUCUCCAAGGUGUGCAGCCUCUGGCACUGGAACAAUGUAGGUAAGGGAAGUCGGCAAAAUAGAUCCGUAACUUUGGGAAAAGGAUUGGCUCUAAGGACCGGGUCACUUGAGCUAGUAUUGCCUAGGCCGGUGGGGUCGCUGAGCGGGGCUCUUCCAGGGUCAAGCGAAGCACACGCUGGCUGUGGAAUGCCUGCGUGAGUUCCUUGCAAAAGGAGCUCUUUGCGAGUGGCAAGUAUCGGUCAGCUUAGAACUGUUACUGACUUGGGGAAUCCGACUGUUUAAUUAAAACAAAGCAUUGCGAUGGCCUUAACAGGUGUUGACGCAAUGUGAUUUCUGCCCAGUGCUCUGAAUGUCAAAGUGCGGAGACGCAACCAAGCGCGGGUAAACGGCUGGGGUAACUAUGACUCUCUUAAGGUAGCCAAAUGCCUCGUCAUCUAAUUAGUGACGCGCAUGAAUGGAUCAACGAGAUUCCUACUGUCCCUACCUACCAUCCAGCGAAACCACAGUCAAGGGAACGGGCUUGACUGAGACAGCGGGGAAAGAAGACCCUGUUGAGCUUGACUCUAGUUUGAUAUUGUGAGAAGACAUGAGGGGUGUAGCAUAAGUGGGAGGUAGUGCAAACUGCCGUCGGUGAAAUACCACUACUUUCAUAGUUUUCACACUAAGUCGGUGGCAAGGGAAAAGCCUGCCUAAGGCAGGUGGAUUCGCGGUUAUAAGGCAGACUGAUCUGCUGACCCAUCGCCGAUGACAGAAUCAGAUG